CAGAGCGCCGGAUGCCGGGAAGUUGGUCAAACUUGAUCAUUUAGAGGAAGUAAAAGUCGUAACAAGGUUUCCGUAGGUGAACCUGCGGAAGGAUCAUUACCGAUGCGAAUCCAAAACAUGGUUAUCAUUAACCUGUGUGAACCGUACACCACAUUUAGGGGUCGGCGAUCGUGCCGUUAAAUGGUCGAGCGUUCGUUUGUUCGGCGUUCGGCCAGCCCCGCCUGUUUUUGACGCACUUUUAAUGUACCAGUCUGAAACGUUGCUCGUUUAUUACGCGGGUAAGAAUGUACGAAAGAGAGAGACAACUUUUAACGGUGGAUCUCUUGGCUCACGUAUCGAUGAAGAACGCAGCCAGCUGCGAUAAGUAGUGUGAAUUGCAGAAUUCAGUGAAUCAUUGAAUCUUUGAACGCAAAUGGCGCUCUUGGGUUCUCCCAGGAGCAUGUCUGUCUGAGUGUCGGAUAUUAUCUAACGCACUAGAUUGUGCGGAAUUGAGGCGUCACGGCGUGUUAUCUAUCAUCGCCGUGUCCCUUGAAGGAAAGCGUGCUAGACUCGCAUCGUGCGGUUAACGCCUGCACCGCAUGCGAAGGCUAAAAAUAUUUUGUCCUUCGCUGUGGUACAGGUCCGCCAUCGCGUGUCUGUGGCCGAAGUAAAAGGUGACAAUUCAUAUUAUCUUGACCUCAGAUC
rnacentral:misc_RNA from 1 species